GAUGAAGAACGUAGCGAAAUGCGAUACGUAAUGUGAAUUGCAAAUUCAGUGAAUCAUCGAGUCUUUGAACGCACAUUGCGCCCCCUGGUAUUCCGGGGGGCAUGCCUGUCCGAGCGUCAUUGCUGCCCUCAAGCACGGCUUGUGUGUUGGGCCCCGUCCUCCGAUCCCGGGGGACGGGCCCGAAAGGCAGCGGCGGCACCGCGUCCGGUCCUCGAGCGUAUGGGGCUUUGUCACCCGCUCUGUAGGCCCGGCCGGCGCUUGCCGAUCAACCCAAAUUUUUUAUCCAGGUUGACCUCGUAUCAGGUAGGGAUACCCGCUGAACUUAAGCAUAUCAAUAAGCGGAGGA
rnacentral:misc_RNA from 1 species